GCCCCCGUAGCUCAAUGGCCAGAGCGAGCGCCUUUUAAGCGCAGGGUUGGAGGUUCGAGUCCUCCCGGGGGCA
rnacentral:tRNA from 1 species